rnacentral:rRNA from 1 species
UACGAAGGGGGCUAGCGUUGUUCGGAAUUACUGGGCGUAAAGAGCGCGCAGGCGGUCGUUCAAGUCGAGUGUGAAAGCCCCCGGCUCAACUGGGGAGGGUCACUCGAUACUGAUCGACUCGAAGGCAGGAGAGGGAAGUGGAAUUCCCGGUGUAGUGGUGAAAUGCGUAGAUAUCGGGAGGAACACCAGUGGCGAAGGCGACUUCCUGGCCUGUUCUUGACGCUGAGGCGCGAAAGCUAGGGGAGCAAACGGG